AAUGAACGCUGGCGGCAGGCCUAACACAUGCAAGUCGAACGGGUCCUUCGGGACUAGUGGCGGGCGGGUGAGUAACGCGUGGGAACGUGCCCUUUGCUACGGAAUAGCCCCGGGAAAAUGGGAGUAAUACCGUAUAAGCCCUUUGGGGGAAAGAUUUAUCGGCAAAGGAUCGGCCCGCGUUGGAUUAGGUAGUUGGUGGGGUAAUGGCCUACCAAGCCGACGAUCCAUAGCUGGUUUGAGAGGAUGAUCAGCCACACUGGGACUGAGACACGGCCCAGACUCCUACGGGAGGCAGCAGUGGGGAAUCUUAGACAAUGGGGGAAACCCUGAUCUAGCCAUGCCGCGUGAUCGAUGAAGGCCUUAGGGUUGUAAAGAUCUUUCAGAUGGGAAGAUAAUGACGGUACCAUCAGAAGAAGCCCCGGCUAACUCCGUGCCAGCAGCCGCGGUAAAAC
rnacentral:rRNA from 1 species